GUGCCACCAGCCGCGGUAAUACGUAUGUGGCAAGCGUUAUCCGGAAUUAUUGGGCGUAAAGCGCGCGUAGGCGGUUUUUUAAGUCUGAUGUGAAAGCCCACGGCUCAACCGUGGAGGGUCAUUGGAAACUGGAAAACUUGAGUGCAGAAGAGGAAAGUGGAAUUCCAUGUGUAGCGGUGAAAUGCGCAGAGAUAUGGAGGAACACCAGUGGCGAAGGCGACUUUCUGGUCUGUAACUGACGCUGAUGUGCGAAAGCGUGGGGAUCAAACAGGAUUAGAUACCCUGGUAGUCC
rnacentral:rRNA from 1 species